rnacentral:rRNA from 1 species
UACAGAGGGGGCAAGCGUUGUUCGGAAUUACUGGGCGUAAAGGGCGCGUAGGCGGCCUGUUAAGUCGGACGUGAAAUCCCUCGGCUCAACCGGGGAACUGCGUCUGAUACUGGCGGGCUUGAAUUCGGGAGAGGGAUGUGGAAUUCCAAGUGUAGCGGUGAAAUGCGUAGAUAUCUGGAGGAACACCGGUGGCGAAGGCGGCUACCUGGCCCAUUCUUGACGCUGAGGCGCGAAAGCUAGGGGAGCAAACGGG